rnacentral:rRNA from 1 species
UACGGGAGGCAGCAGUAGGGAAUUUUUCACAAUGGGCGCAAGCCUUAUGAAGCAAUGCCGCGUGAACGAUGAAGGUCUUAUAGAUUGUAAAGUUCUUUUAUAUGGGAAGAAACGCUAAAAUAGGAAAUGAUUUUAGUUUGACUGUACCAUUUGAAUAAGUAUCGGCUAACUAUGUGCCAGCAGCCGCGGUAAUACAUAGGAUGCAAGCGUUAUCCGGAUUUACUGGGCGUAAAACGAGCGCAGGCGGGUUUGUAAGUUUGGUAUUAAAUCUAGAUGCUUAACGUCUAGCUGUAUCAAAAACUGUAAACCUAGAGUGUAGUAGGGAGUUGGGGAACUCCAUGUGGAGCGGUAAAAUGCGUAGAUAUAUGGAAGAACACCGGUGGCGAAGGCGCCAACUUGGACUAUCACUGACGCUUAGGCUCGAAAGUGUGGGGAGCAAAUAGGAUUAGAUACCCUAGUAGUCCACACCGUAAACGAUCAUCAUUAAAUGUCGGCCUGAAUGGGUCGGUGUUGUAGCUAACGCAUUAAAUGAUGUGCCUGGG